rnacentral:rRNA from 1 species
AGUUUGAUCCUGGCUCAGGACGAACGCUGGCGGCGUGCCUAAUACAUGCAAGUCGAGCGAGCUUGCCUAGAUGAUUUUAGUGCUUGCACUAAAUGAAACUAGAUACAAGCGAGCGGCGGACGGGUGAGUAACACGUGGGUAACCUGCCCAAGAGACUGGGAUAACACCUGGAAACAGAUGCUAAUACCGGAUAACAACACUAGACGCAUGUCUAGAGUUUGAAAGAUGGUUCUGCUAUCACUCUUGGAUGGACCUGCGGUGCAUUAGCUAGUUGGUAAGGUAACGGCUUACCAAGGCAAUGAUGCAUAGCCGAGUUGAGAGACUGAUCGGCCACAUUGGGACUGAGACACGGCCCAAACUCCUACGGGAGGCAGCAGUAGGGAAUCUUCCACAAUGGGCGCAAGCCUGAUGGAGCAACACCGCGUGAGUGAAGAAGGGUUUCGGCUCGUAAAGCUCUGUUGUUGGAGAAGAACGUGCGUGAGAGUAACUGUUCACGCAGUGACGGUAUCCAACCAGAAAGUCACGGCUAACUACGUGCCAGCAGCCGCGGUAAUACGUAGGUGGCAAGCGUUAUCCGGAUUUAUUGGGCGUAAAGCGAGCGCAGGUGGUUGCUUAGGUCUGAUGUGAAAGCCUUCGGCUUAACCGAAGAAGGGCAUCGGAAACCGGGCGACUUGAGUGCAGAAGAGGACAGUGGAACUCCAUGUGUAGCGGUGAAAUGCGUAGA